CAGUCGAGGGGCAGCAUGGUCUUAGCUUGCUAAGGCCGAUGGCGACCGGCGCACGGGUGAGUAACACGUAUCCAACCUGCCGUCUACUCUUGGACAGCCUUCUGAAAGGAAGAUUAAUACAAGAUGGCAUCAUGAGUCCGCAUGUUCACAUGAUUAAAGGUAUUCCGGUAGACGAUGGGGAUGCGUUCCAUUAGAUAGUAGGCGGGGUAACGGCCCACCUAGUCUUCGAUGGAUAGGGGUUCUGAGAGGAAGGUCCCCCACAUUGGAACUGAGACACGGUCCAAACUCCUACGGGAGGCAGCAGUGAGGAAUAUUGGUCAAUGGGCGAGAGCCUGAACCAGCCAAGUAGCGUGAAGGAUGACUGCCCUAUGGGUUGUAAACUUCUUUUAUAAAGGAAUAAAGUCGGGUAUGGAUACCCGUUUGCAUGUACUUUAUGAAUAAGGAUCGGCUAACUCCGUGCCAGCAGCCGCGGUAAUACGGAGGAUCCGAGCGUUAUCCGGAUUUAUUGGGUUUAAAGGGAGCGUAGAUGGAUAUUUAAGUCAGUUGUGAAAGUUUGCGGCUCAACCGUAAAAUUGCAGUUGAUACUGGAUAUCUUGAGUGCAGUUGAGGCAGGCGGAAUUCGUGGUGUAGCGGUGAAAUGCUUAGAUAUCACGAAGAACUCCGAUUGCGAAGGCAGCCUGCUAAGCUGCAACUGACAU
rnacentral:rRNA from 1 species